rnacentral:rRNA from 1 species
AUGGCUCAGGAUGAACGCUGGCGGCGUAGCUUAACACAUGCAAGUCGAACGGGACUUGAGAAAUGAAGUACUCGUAUGGAUUUCUUAAGUUAGUGGCGGACGGGUGAGUAACGCGUGGGCAACCUGCCGUAUGCAGGGGGACAACAGUUGGAAACGACUGCUAAUACCGCAUAAGCGCACAGCACCGCAUGGUGCAGUGUGAAAAGAUUUAUCGGCAUACGAUGGGCCCGCGUUGGAUUAGGUAGUUGGCGGAGUAACGGCCCACCAAGCCAUCGAUCCAUAGCCGACCUGAGAGGGUGAUCGGCCACAUUGGGACUGAGACACGGCCCAAACUCCUACGGGAGGCAGCAGUGGGGAAUAUUGCACAAUGGGGGAAACCCUGAUGCAAGCGACGCCGCGUGAGUGAAGAAGUAUUUCGGUAUGUAAAGCUCUAUCAGCAGGGAAGAAAAUGACGGUACCUGACUAAGAAGCCCCGGCUAACUACGUGCCAGCAGCGGC